UUAAUGCUACCCGUUAUGAACAAAAAGCUAAUUCCAUGUUUUAGAGCUCCCCGCAGUGUAAAACGCCACCAUAAAAUCACAACCCACUCUUUGUAGGAAGACUACAGCAUAGCUGAAUGUCAGCAGAGAGGGCUACCAGGUGUGAAUGGGCAGAUCAUAAAGAAUGGCACUUACCAACUACAAACACCACCUUAAAAUUACACUACAAUCUAUGCAGGAAUGUCAUUCACAAAAAAUUACAUUCAGUCAUCUUUGCAUUAAUAGCAUAGAAAUAAUGUACAUACUUUAAAAAGAAGAAAAACUAAGGGUCUGUCCCAAUCCAUCUAUAAAUUCAGGACUCUCUGUUGUUCCAGCAGCACUCUGGCUGGCAGCAUUCCGGCUGUCCGACACGCAUGCGCAAAAGAGCACACUGGCGUACGGAAGUAAACAUGGAGGCUACUAACGUCAGACGCAGCAGGCUGGCUUAUGGGAGUAAUCAUGGAGACCGCAGCGCAUAAAGUUAGCUUCACUACUUCCAUGUCUACCCUUCACAAUAAAAGUCCAACUUAAAUUUGCUCAGAGCAUUUUCCUAAGAGGCAACUCAAUAAAAUAGCUCACUACGCUAACGUCAUUUUUGCAAACACUAGAUAUCAAACAAAAAGCCAGUCCAGGUUCUGUAAGUGUACUAACUUAUAACACUUAACACAUUACCGCUGCCAAAAUACCUGUGCUUACUAAAUCCAUACUUUAAUGUUACUUUAUAACCAUAUAAGCCUGUUUUGAGAUUAACAGCUCUGCUAAAGUGUUAAAUUUGUUAACGAUAAUAAUAACGAGACAAGACAGCACAGCCAUCAUUAAACGCUGACUGUGGUGAUAUCAACAUGCAAUAUUGUUGAUGAAAAAAGUGAACUAAAAUGUAGUGUACAAAAUAAAAAUUCAUUCUAGUUUCAUGCCUUUCACCUUUUUUCUCUCUCUCUCUUUCUCUUUCUCUUUCUCUUUCUCUUUCUCUCUCUCGCUCUCGCUCUCUCUUAAGCACACACACACUCACAUCGCUGGCGCCAGCUAUGUCCGUCUCUGUGUUCGGAUGUUCGGUCUGGUUCCGGUGUUUGAUUAAUGCAUAUUUUUGUGGAUUGGCUCUCAUAACAGGCAAGAGUAUUUAUUAUUGUUAUUAUUAUUGAGAGGACUCGGAGUAACUGCAAAACUGCAUUUUCAAUCAUUCAACCAGGGGUUAAAGUGGGUUGGAAACCAUCCGAGGAACUACCCUCGGGCACGUUCGAUUAAGAAGUAAAUGAAUCUAUUUAGCAGUUCCAUACAUUAGAGUUUUAUUCUGCACUGGUACAUGCCAUGAAUUCAUGAAUGUGGAUAGUUCACACGUCUGUAAUAACAGCAGAACAUUUAGAGCGCUUAGUUCACAUGUCUAAUAACAGCAGGACAGUUGAAUGUCUGUUAUCUAAACUACUACAUUCGGUUUUGAAGUGAGGAUAACGUUGGUUUUUCAUCAGAUAAUGAUAAGAUAUAUCAGAUAAAAUAAGUUUCACUAAAAUGACCAUAUUAUUAGUUUUGGCGAGACUAAAUUAACUGAAAUGUUCAAUAUAAUUAUUUAUUGGAAUGAAUGAUUUGGGGACUACUCACAAAUACAGCAGAUUUUGAUACUGGGAUGGACCCUAAAAGUAUACUUUGCUCACCGCACACCAGAAAACUGUUGGAGGAAAGACAACACUGGUCAACACUGGAAAACUGGUCUUUGUCUGCGUCAAGUGGGCAUUCUUUUUGCAUUUAGUUUGCUAGCAUGUUACAGUUUAGUCAUCCAGUAACAUGCUAACAGCAACAAGUGGACAUUUUUAUCUGUUGGUGGAAGAAGACAGGUCAGGAUCACCAAAACCACGUUGUUCUGGACCAUGUUGAUUGACAUCUUUGUAUGGAUACCGCUUUUAAUGGUAAAACCACACCUGAAUUUCACCUAACUUCAAUAGAUGGACAUAUUCUUAAAGCACAACAGUAUUUUAAAAUACUGUUUUUGCCAAAACUUCCUCCAGAGAGUCUUUCCAAAAAAUAAAAAUAAAAAAUCACACAAUUUUUUUAACUUCAGCUUCAUUCCCUGUGCUCAAACUACAUUUUUGUCCUACUUUGUGGUUUUAAUGUCACGGUGAUGAGAUUAAUUCCAAAAAGACCUUCUGGCACCAUUUAAAAUUAGAGUUUAUAUGAAUGCAUUUUUAAAGACAUGUUUUAAUAUUCAGGGCUGUAUUUACAGUAAAUGUUACUGAAUUUAGUCAUAAAAGAAUGUUACGCUUUUGUUUUCUGAAGUGCUGAAAUUCAGAAAGGAUGAUCGAACAAAUGUCUGACCUGUAAUGUGCCCCUUUCAUUUAUUAGCGUUAGCCCUUAUGUCACAAAACAAAUUUGGAAAUGUUGAGUUGGAAAACCUGCACUGUCAGUAGGAACUGAUAACAUAUAAUGUAAAAUUUGAAUCAAACUUAA